rnacentral:rRNA from 1 species
AAUUCGAUUGAGUUUGAUCAUGGCUCAGGAUAAACGCUGGCGGCGUGCAUGAGACAUGCAAGUCGAACGGACUUCUCGGGGCUUGCUCUGAGAAGUUAGUGGCGGACGGCUGAGUAACGCGUAGGUGACCUACCCCGAAGUGGGGAAUAACCGCCCGAAAGGGUGGCUAAUACCGCAUGCGAUCGCUAAUUCACUUUGACGAUCAAAGCAGCAAUGCGCUUUGGGAGGGGCCUGCGUCCGAUUAGCUCGUUGGUGGGGUAAUGGCUCACCAAGGCGACGAUCGGUAGGUGGUCUGAGAGGACGAUCACCCAGACUGGGACUGAGACACGGCCCAGACUCCUACGGGAGGCAGCAGUCGGGAAUUUUGCUCAAUGGGCGCAAGCCUGAAGCAGCAACGCCGCGUGAGGGAUGAAGGCCUUCGGGUUGUAAACCUCUUUUAUCUGGGACGAUUAUGACGGUACCUGAUGAAUAAGCCACGGCUAACUACGUGCCAGCAGCCGCGGUAAUACGUAGGUGGCAAGCGUUGUCCGGAUUUACUGGGCGUAAAGAGCGCGCAGGCGGUCAAGUAAGUCGAAUGUGAAAGCCCCCGGCUCAACUGGGGAGGGUCAUUCGAUACUGCUCGACUCGAAGGUAGGAGAGAGAAGCAGAAUUCCCGGUGUAGUGGUGAAAUGCGUAGAUAUCGGGAGGAAUACCAGUGGCGAAGGCGGCUUCUUGGCCUAUUCUUGACGCUGAGGCGCGAAAGCUGGGGGAGCAAACGGGAUUAGAUACCCCGGUAGUCCCA